rnacentral:rRNA from 1 species
GUGGGGAAUUUUGGACAAUGGGCGCAAGCCUGAUCCAGCAAUGCCGCGUGCAGGAAGAAGGCCUUCGGGUUGUAAACUGCUUUUGUACGGAACGAAAAGGCUCUGGCUAAUACCUGGAGCUCAUGACGGUACCGUAAGAAUAAGCACCGGCUAACUACGUGCCAGCAGCCGCGGUAAUACGUAGGGUGCGAGCGUUAAUCGGAAUUACUGGGCGUAAAGCGUGCGCAGGCGGUGCUGUAAGACAGGCGUGAACUCCCCGGGCUAAACAUGGGAAUUGCGCUUGUGACUGCAGUGCUGGAGUACGGCAGAGGGGGAUGGAAUUCCGCGUGUAGCAGUGAAAUGCGUAGAUAUGCGGAGGAACACCGAUGGAGAAGGCAAUCCCCUGGGCCUGCACUGACGCUCAUGCACGAAAGCGUGGGGAGCAAACAGGAUUAGAUACCCUAGUAGUCC